GCUCGUAUAGUGUAGGUGGUUAUCACAGUUCGUUGUGGAUAGAUCAUCCCAUCCGAGCUAACCGCUGUUCGACUCAGCGUGCGAGCA